CAGUCGCCGCGGUAAUACGUAGGGUGCAAGCGUUAAUCGGAAUUACUGGGCGUAAAGCGUGCGCAGGCGGUUAUAUAAGUCAGAUGUGAAAUCCCCGGGCUCAACCUGGGAACUGCAUUUGAGACUGUAUGGCUAGAGUGUGUCAGAGGGGGGUAGAAUUCCACGUGUAGCAGUGAAAUGCAUAGAUAUGUGGAGGAAUACCGAUGGCGAAGGCGACUCUCUGGUCUGUAACUGACGCUGAGGAGCGAAAGCGUGGGGAGCGAACAGGAUUAGAGACCCGAGUAGUCCCUGUCUCUUAUAC
rnacentral:rRNA from 1 species